rnacentral:rRNA from 1 species
UGGGCGUAAAGCGAGCGCAGGUGGUUUAUUAAGUCUGGUGUAAAAGGCAGUGGCUCAACCAUUGUAUGCAUUGGAAACUGGUAGACUUGAGUGCAGUAGGGGAGACUGGAAUUCCUGGUGUAGCGGUGGAAUGCGCAGAUAUCAGGAGGAACACCGAUGGCGAAGGCAGGUCUCUGGGCUGUAACUGACGCUGAGAAGCGAAAGCAUGGGGAGCGAACAGGAUUAGAUACCCUGGUAGUCCAUGCCGUAAACGUUGGGCACUAGGUGUGGGGGACAUUCCACGUUUUCCGCGCCGUAGCUAACGCAUUAAGUGCCCCGCCUGGGGAGUACGGCCGCAAGGCUAAAACUCAAAGAAAUUGACGGGGGCCCGCACAAGCGGCGGAGCAUGCGGAUUAAUUCGAUGCAACGCGAAGAACCUUACCAAGGCUUGACAUAUACUGGACUGCGUCAGAGAUGGCGUUUCCCUUCGGGGCUGGUAUACAGGUGGUGCAUGGUUGUCGUCAGCUCGUGUCGUGAG